rnacentral:sRNA from 1 species
ACUACUGGAAAGGUCCUCCCCUCAAAAAGUUUUGUAAAUGUAAGUAGGAUACAUCACAGCCCACAGGGGCUGCGGUAGGGAAAGCAGGGGAGUGGAGCGGAAGGGGCCCCAGAGGAAGGAAGAGGAGGGAGGUGCCUAAUACAAACACCGACAAACAAUAAAAACAGAGAACCUUAAGGCGGUGAGUACAGCUAAAUUAAGUUCUUGUAUGGAAAGGAGGCUAAAGGUCUCACUUAACACAGGUGCACAGAGAGCUGUUCUAAAAUGCUGGAAUGGUCUUAGAAAUACAUAGAAAAUGGGAAUGUCUGAAACUCUCUCUGUCUGCUGUUUGCCCUGCUUUCAUUUCCUCCCCUAAACACAUUCUAAGCACACAUUCAGCAAGAUCCAACCAAUUUACAAGCUCAACACACACCUUCAACCAUCAGAAGGGCAACUCAGCAUCACCGUGUCACAGUGGACUCCGAGGGACCCUACACCUUAUGAAUGGGCAUUGUCCUCAAGAAGGUGAUGGAAAAUACCAGUGUACUUCAAGUAAUUUCAUACCCAGGAGGCUGCUCUGGCGAGAUGGUUUGGAGCAGUGGAUCCCAGCCUUCCCUAAGGCUGUGACCCUUUAAGGCCUCAUGUUGUGGUGAGCCCUGUAAAAGGAUCAUUCAACUCCCCAGGGUGAGAAUGGCCAAUUCAGAGCCUUUCAUCUUUAACCUCCAGCUCCUUAGAUUGUUCAUGUUUUAAGCCUGAUCAAAAGCAGCCUUUAUGUUUUCCUCCACAUCCCUGGUUAAAUUUUUCUGUUUAAGUCCAAGAGCAAAAAACUCUGCCAUACCUGGAGAGAUCCCCUCCUGGGGUGAUAAACACUUGACUUACGACUUUGUGGGCCAUCCAGAUGCUGAGACAUCAUGCGUCCCAUGGAUGUCGCAUGCACCCACGUCUUCUUCAGAAUGUUAAGCUUCAACCCGAACAACACAAUAAUAAAGACUGUCAGGAGUUCCUCAGUACAGUUAAGACACAUCUUUGGAAAGGAGAAAAAGAAGAACUGCACAGAGAUGUCACUGAUUAAGAAAGAAAAAAAGGUACAGGAAGAACCAGGCGGAGCGACAACAGAAACUGAAGAAGUCACAGGCUUCAGUGGUGGUUUGCACCACCAUAUAUCAUAUGUGAGUCAGGAGAAUGCAGGCAUCUCAUGCCCUAGGAAUUUCCCAUAUUUCUAGGAAAAUACAUCUUCUCCCUCUGCUGGGAACGUGGGGUUCAUCCAGUAGGAAGUGUAAAAGGAGCUCACUGUAAAGCAUAUGGUACAAAGCUACAGGUGGAGAUGAAGAGAUGGCUCAGUGGUCAGAGCGAGUUCAGUCUCCAGCACCUGCUUGGGGCUCACAACUGUCCACUACUCCAGCCCAGAAGAUCCAAUACCCUCCUCUGGCUCCAGCAGGUACUCAGUGCACUCAUAUGGUGCACAUAUAUGCGUUCAGACAUAACACAUAAAAUAAAUUUUAUUUAAAGAAAAAUGCCACAGGCAUGACUGUUGGUGGAUAGUGCCUGUUUGGGUCAUGAAAAGUGAAGUUUCUGUAGGCUUCAGGUUGAGAUCUAGUCUUCUUCUGUGCAAAGUUUCAGGACUGGUUCUUGCUCGGAGUAUUGGAGCUCUCAGGAUGCUUGUGACUUCAGUGACAAUGCCAAUGGAAACUCUAGAGAUGGGCCACGCCCCAGCUAGGGAGAAGGAUCCGCUAAGGAGAAUCUCAAACUGCAAGCAGGGCUGAACCGCACCCCAUACUCUCAUCCCAGGAGUUAGAGGACAUUGAGCUAAGUUCAGGACUAGGAAUUCGUGGUGGGAAUGGGGAGGUAGCAAUCCACAGUGCGGUGAAACACUGAGUCUGCUCCAGAUCUGACUGAUGAUGAUGGAUCCUAUCUAGGUGCUGCUUAAAUGCUUUUCUUUGUUCCACAGUCGAGUCUGGAAACUGUACAGAUGACCAAGGGUCCAGGCAGACAGAGGAUCAA